rnacentral:rRNA from 1 species
AGUUUGAUCCUGGCUCAGGACGAACGCUGGCGGCGUGCUUAACACAUGCAAGUCGAGCGGUAAGGCCCUUUCGGGGGUACACGAGCGGCGAACGGGUGAGUAACACGUGAGCAAUCUGCCCUUCACUUUGGGAUAACUACCGGAAACGGUGGCUAAUACCGAAUAUGACCACUUCACGCAUGUGAUGGUGGUGGAAAGUUCCGGCGGUGAAGGAUGAGCUCGCGGCCUAUCAGCUUGUUGGUGGGGUAAUGGCCCACCAAGGCAACGACGGGUAGCCGGCCUGAGAGGGUGACCGGCCACACUGGGACUGAGACACGGCCCAGACUCCUACGGGAGGCAGCAGUGGGGAAUCUUGCGCAAUGGGCGAAAGCCUGACGCAGCGACGCCGCGUGAGGGAAGAAGGCCUUCGGGUUGUAAAGCCCUUUUGCCGGGGAAGAGAUGGACGGUACCCGGCGAAUAAGCCCCGGCUAACUACGUGCCAGCAGCCGCGGUAGUCGGGCCCA